GCCGUCUUCUCUUCCACCCCGCUCUCUUCAUGUCCCGUAGCUCCCAGCUCCGCAGCUGUUCGAGACUCCGCACUGGAUCCGCCGGGUGUCGGAUUCAGCAACAGUGAUUGGUGCGGAGGAUCCGAGGGAGACGGGCCGACACAGGGUCUACCUUGACAUGGCUCGACCCCUCUACAGAAGCAGAGGGGCGCUCGAAGAGUCGCCAGGGAAAAUGGAGCCUUAAGGAUUAGUUUGGGUAGUGAGGAAAGAGGAAAGAGCUGUCGGAGCCUGUUUCAUUUUUCCCGCUUUGCGACAAGGUCUAGAGAGAGUUACAAUUUUAUUUGAAACAGUAAAUAGACACAUUAAUGUGACCUGAUAGCGUGCACCAUCAGUAUAUGAUAAAAUUAGGAGAAAUUAGGAAGCAUGGUAAAACAUGUGUCAGGAUGGCCGAGCGGUCUAAGGCGCUGCGUUCAGGUCGCAGUCUCCCCUGGAGGCGUGGGUUCGAAUCCCACUCCUGACAAUAUGUGUUUUCCGUCCUUACUUUUCCUCCUGAUUUGAACCAACCAGCAAUUAUGUUUGAAUUCUUAGAGAAAGACUUUUCGAUCGGUCAACACUGCCUUUUAUCCUAGGUAUCUACAUUUACGAAAAUUAUUUGUGCUUCUCUGCACAUAUAGAACUAUAUCUAUUUUUCCUGUAUUGUAGGCUGGAGUCUGGUCUAUGAAAUCAGGGAGCAGUUGAGACUAAGAUUAACUUUGGACUCCAACUUCCCAGUGUCAAUUUAUCCAUUCUUUUAUUCAACAACAAUGUGUUGAGCCCUUUCUGUGCGUCAAGCACACUAAGGCAGGCAGAUACCAUCUCCUUUGACUAAACAAGAGAACGCCCUCAACUCAGGAUCCUUUAAUUUGCUCUACAGUCUUAGCUGGGU
rnacentral:lncRNA from 1 species